UUACGGUCCAUCCGAUGAGGAUGGGAAGUAACUCAGGGAAACACACAUUGGCAAAAUGUGGGAAAUUAACUGAG
rnacentral:ribozyme from 1 species